CUACUACUCCCUCCAUCCCAAAAUUCUUAUCUUAGGUUUGUUCGGAAAUGGAUGUAUCUAAAUACUAAUACAUGACUAGAUAAAUUCAUAUUUAGACAAAUCAAAGACAAGAAUUUUAGGACGGAGGGAGUACAUG
rfam:Hordeum vulgare subsp. vulgare, WGS project CAJW01000000 data, contig: morex_contig_48208